UAAACUAUAAUUUAAGGGAUCAUUUCUAUAGUUGUUUACUAGAGAAGUUUCUCUGAUAGUGUAGUGUAGCAGAAGCUACAACGAGUAACUGUGUUCUUUCCUGCAAGUAAAGCUGGCCCUGGGUGUUGUUUGGAACAACUGCCCAUUGCCAUUAAUGAUCAUUCUUCUCUCCCCUUGGGAGAGUUGGAGGAAGAGAACACAGUCUGAGCGGA
ensembl:snoRNA U3 Small nucleolar RNA U3